AACUUUCCAAGCUGGUGGAGCGCAUGGGUUCGAACCCUCUUCACGCCCCCCGGAUUUUGGGAUUUUUUUUAAUUUUUAUAAUCAAAUCAAUAAAACCCUAGCAGCCACACUUUUUCUAUUUGUCACUCCCCUCAUCUCUCUCUGCGCAGCCACACCUCCAGACAGUACUUCCUCCAUGCCUCCAAUUUCUCCCUCUUCUCUCUCUUGUCCCCUCUUCUCUCUCAGUCCUCCCUCAAGCUCCAGCACCGAUCCCCAUGGCUGCGAGCGUGCAGACCCUGCAGCAACCCUUCCUCUCACUCGCCGUCGCCGUCUCCAGCACCCAUCCCCGUCGCCGUCUCUCAGCGAUCUUUCUCUUAUCCCUCUCACUCGCCGUCGACUUUCUCUCGCCGGUUCAAGGCUCAAGUGUCGACCCACAAAUCCCCUCCUUUGCAAGGCUUCUAGAUGACUGAAGACGAAAAUGCUGAAUUGAGCGAAAAAAAGAUUGAAGAGCAACAAUGGCCUGUGAUGAAGAGAUUGAACAGAAAAAUGCGACUUUGUUGAACGAGGCUGAAGAGAAAAAUGCUUCGUUAAGCGUAAACAAGUUUGAAGUGCAGGACACGACAUUGAUGAACAAGACUGAAGGGAAAAAUGCGCCAUUGUUGAACGAGACCGAAGAGAAUAAUGUGCAUUUUUUGUGGUUGUUUUGC